rnacentral:rRNA from 1 species
GAUGAACGCUGGCGGCGUGCCUAAUACAUGCAAGUCGAGCGAACAGACGAGGAGCUUGCUCCUCUGACGUUAGCGGCGGACGGGUGAGUAACACGUGGAUAACCUACCUAUAAGACUGGGAUAACUUCGGGAAACCGGAGCUAAUACCGGAUAAUAUAUUGAACCGCAUGGUUCAAUAGUGAAAGACGGUUUUGCUGUCACUUAUAGAUGGAUCCGCGCCGCAUUAGCUAGUUGGUAAGGUAACGGCUUACCAAGGCGACGAUGCGUAGCCGACCUGGGAGGGUGAUCGGCCACACUGGAACUGAGACACGGUCCAGACACCUACGGGAGGCAGCAGUAGGGAAUCUUCCGCAAUGGGCGAAAGCCUGACGGGGCAACGCAGCGUGAGUGAUGAAGGUCUUCGGAUCGUAAAACUCUGUUAUUAGGGAAGAACAAAUGUGUAAGUAACUAUGCACGUCUUGACGGUACCUAAUCAGAAAGCCACGGCUAACUACAUG